CACAGCAAACACAUUCACAUUUGGACCUUCAAAAGUCAUCAUUGUGGUGGAACUCUAAAUGAUUCAAAGUGGGUCGUAACUGCAGCUCAUUGCAUUGAUUGGUAAGUGGCUGUUUAUCAUUAUGAUUAUUUUCCCAUUUGAAGGAAUUAAAAAGCAAAGUUUUUAAAGAACUGAAAGGGUUAAAGGUAUAGACCAGCAAUGCUGCUUUCAAAGCAAAUUAUUAAAAUGUAUACCUCCAAUCACGCAGGCCUCAGACGCCAUCCGUUUACAAGAUCGUCCUUGGAAUCCAUACAGAAAACGCAAAUGAACCCACCAAACAGGAACGAGAUGUUUCUAAGAUUGUUAUGGGACCAUCUGAAGCUGACAUUGCUCUUCUCAAGUUAAAAAAGUCUGUCCACAUUUGAUGUCUGAAACCGUAGUGUGUCCUAAAUGCAAUUUAUGGACCUGCAUAAUAAAAGUCUAAGCUGUAUUUAGAACAUAACCUUAUUUUUAAUUACAGCAAAAAGACAUUAACGAUAAGGUUUCACUUGCUUGUCUACCAGAGAAGGACUACAUUGUACCAGGGGGUUCAAAAUGCUUUGUAACAGGUUGGGGAGACACACAGGGAACUGGUGGAGAGGGUUACUUGAAAGAAGCUGGUUUGCCAGUAAUUGAAAAUACAAUUUGCAACAGUUCACCAUUUUUGGAUGGCCGUGUAAAGGAACAUGAGAUGUGUGCAGGAAACAUAGAAGGUGGAGCGGACAGUUGUCAGGGUGACAGCGGUGGGCCUCUCGUCUGCCAAGCACAGAACAAUUUUUUUCUUCAUGGUGUGACAUCAUGGGGGAUUGGUUGUGCUAAAGCAAAGAAACCUGGAGUCUAUGCCCGCGUCUCUAAGUUUGUUGACUGGAUUGAACAAAGCAUGAAAGAAAACUAAAAAAAAAGUUACAUCUUAAACAAAAAUAUGAUAUGGAUGCCAUAGUUAAAAUUCCUGAUAAAAAAAAAUGUGGACAAUGUUCUCUGCUCACAGCCUGUAAUACAUUUCUGAUAUGCAACUGCCAGAUCUGUCACCAGUGAAUGUUGUGUUUUACUAAACUAAAAACACACAAAGACCAGUAAAAUCUACACAACAGAAGCGCCAGUCAAAGAUGCUCUUGAUCUGUUAUGGGUUCCUCUAUUCAUUGAAUGGUCCUGCAUUGAUCCACUUUUUUGUCUCUGAAACUUUUCGGAGUGUGUCCCCCUUGUUUAGGAUGCACCCCUCAUGCCCCCCUAAAGAAAAUUUAUGACAAACUUAGAAUUUGAAUUAAACAAAACAUUAAAUUAUACAAUGCAGUGCUGCUGGUGGCUAUAUUUCUUGAGGUUUGAUUACACAGAAUUUAUAAUAAAUUAAUGUAUUUUUUUAAAUGUCCUAAAACUAUUCACGAGCCCACCCACAAAUUUGAGAACCACUGCAGUAGCGACACUUAAACACAGAAGCAGCAUUUGGUUACUUUGGUCAACGAACCGCACUUUCUCAGUUUUGCAAGACUUAAACGUCCAUGAAGUUUAUUUUUCUUUUACUAUUGCUUUGAAAACAUUACUGAAUGACACAGUAACUGAGGGUUCAGAACACAUUGAUGGAUGAACAUUAAAUGACUUGAACCAUGUGUUAGUGGUUGACUGAAAAACCUCCUUACUCAAUCUGUUUGUGUAAACUAAACUUCAACAUGAAGGUUCAAAUAGCAGGUAUUUGAUUUACAUUUGGCCAUUUACAUAAUAUCAGCAGUAGGAUGGUUACUCAUUGAGUUGAGGACUUGCUUUGAAAAAAGCUGCAUAAAAAUGUAGCGAUUCAGCGGGAGGAGGGGAAUAACGUUAUUUAAAACAUUAUGAACCUCAGACCGAAACAUUACGUUUAUUUAAGGGAAUUUAGGGGAAUUCCCAGAUUUAACUCAAAGGAAAAUAACUGUAAUUACUUAUACAAAUUAAUAAGAUUAAUACAGUUUUGUACCUUUAUUUCUGACAGUGUAUGGGUUAAAAAAAUGUUGGGUCACUUUGAGUGACUUUGAUGGAGAA